rnacentral:tRNA from 1 species
GGGUGUGUAGCUCAGUUGGUAGAGCAGCGGUCUCCAAAGCCGCGGGUCGGGAGUUCGAGUCUCUCCGCACUCG